UACGGAGGGGGCUAGCGUUGCUCGGAUUGACUGGGCGUAAAGGGCGCGUAGGCGGCUUGUACAGUCAGACGUGAAAUUCCUGGGCUCAACCUGGGGGCUGCGUUUGAUACGUAUGGGCUUGAGUUCGGAAGAGGGUCGUGGAAUUCCCAGUGUAGAGGUGAAAUUCGUAGAUAUUGGGAAGAACACCGGUGGCGAAGGCGGCGACCUGGUCCGAUACUGACGCUGAGGCGCGAAAGCGUGGGGAGCAAACAGG
rnacentral:rRNA from 1 species